rnacentral:tRNA from 1 species
GGGCCUGUAGCUCAGCUUGGAUUAGAGCGACAGCCUUCUAAGCUGUAGGUCGCGAGUUCGAAUCUCGUCAGGCCCA